GGAAUGUGAACAAUUUAAUCAGGAAGGAGAAAUAGAAGUAGAUAAGUACUGUAUGAAGGAAUGCAAGGUAACAGGCACACAAAGAGUUCUCCAUGCUGCAACAUUUUUUGGAAGGAGCUAUUUCUUAUUAACAGAUAGAAUUAUGUCCAAGCUAGGCAUCAUAUGUGGAGAGCUUGCUCUGAACUCUCUGAGGAAUUUGUUCCAAACAAAUAGUAAGAUACUUACAUAUUUUGUGAAACUUAUGUUUUACAUCAAGAAGUGUUGAUGAUGGUGGCAUCUGAAAAGAAUGGGAAAAGCAUGAAAUGACCCAACAGAAGGAUACAUAGAUAUUGGAAUAUAUACUGGACAAUAUUGGUAUCAUCAAGG